UUUACCUACGGGGCGCAGCAGUGGGGAAUAUUGGGCAAUGGGCGCGAGCCUGACCCAGCAAUGCCGCGUGAAGGAAGAAGGCCUUCGGGUUGUAAACUUCUUUUAUCAGGGACGAAGGAUGUGACGGUACCUGAUGAAUAAGCUCCGGCUAACUACGUGCCAGCAGCCGCGGUAAUACGUAGGGAGCAAGCGUUAUCCGGAUUUACUGGGUGUAAAGGGCGCGUAGGCGGGAUGGCAAGUCAGAUGUGAAAUCCAAGGGCUCAACCCUUGAACUGCAUUUGAAACUGUCGUUCUUGAGUACUGGG
rnacentral:rRNA from 1 species